GAUUGAAACCUUUCAUCAACCCACAAUCAAUUUAGAACGUGAGAAAAGAGUAAUUGAAACCCUUUUCAAAUGACCCUCAACUCAGCGAUUGAAUGGGUUUCGAUGCAAUUGAAGCCCUGCAAAUGAAGCGUCUCGCCUUCAUAUCCACACACCAUUACAUACACACACCCAUUAUCGCAUCGGUCCAAUUGCAGAUGUAACAUCGGCGAGGGAAGUAGGGUUAAAAGUUAAAACCCUGGCAGCGAUGACAGUUUCAGAGCUUCAUCAUAUUCAUACGAGGGCAGCGAAGUAUGGUGGCCACGGAUUCAAGGGGCUUGGGUUUCACGUAACGUUUUUGUUCCUUUUGGCCAAGUUCUUCGCCAUCAGGCUCAUCACAGUUAUUAGAGUUGCAGCCCAGUCAGAAUCAUCUUGGUGGUGCCCAUCUUAGUGGUCACAAAUGAUAGGGAACAUAAGAGAAAGGCCACCUGAAGAGGGAAUAUUUGCAGAUACAGGUCCGAUUGAUAUCACGGCAACCACACUAGCCGGUCUUGGUACCUCACCCCUAAAAAUUCACCCACAAUUGACUAUUGGUUAUCGUAGACCGAAGUCCAUCUGUGAAAUGGGAAGAUGUUUAGAUACUAUCAUAUUAUUCAUGUUCUGAUUGUUAAUUACUUUACUGCCGGUUACUUUUUAUUUUGCAGAAACACUUUUGCUGAUUGCUGAUUGUGAUUGCAGCUAGCCUUGAAAAAGCUAAACAAGCUAUUUGCUGGAAAUGUUACAGGUAUUGUAUUUUCUUUUUGGCAAUUAGGAUACAGUAUGCGCCAAAUGCGAAAACAGGAUGCGCCGCGAUUGCUGCUUCGUGAUUAUAAAACAAAUGAGGUUUUAACAAGAGCCUCAAGUAACUGUAUUAUGAUGAAUAUAGAGAGACAAGCAGGUUAUCAAAAAUACCAGAUGAAGUCUGUGGUGAAAUAGAUCACUACUUUCCAAGAUGGAGUGAUUUGGAUGUCAACUAGCAUGCUAACUUUUUAAAGCAUACUGGGUGGAUCCUAGAGAGUGCUUCACAAGUUGUGGAGAAGUAUGGGCUUGCUAGCAUUACUCAGAAUGUAGGAAGGAUAGUGUGCUGAAAUCACUGGACUCAGUAUUAGGCGGCGGUGACAAUGGUGGGAUAGAUGAUUCUGGCCCUGUUGAUUGCCAACAUGUUCUCUUAUUUCAGGGUGGCACAAAAGGUACUCCUGGUGGCGAGAUUAUUAAGGGAAUGAGCCAGCGGCGACCUAAAUAUGAGAAACAAGAUGAAGAUAGGAGUGUUGAUAACUUCUCUGCAGGAAAUGUUUAAUUGCAUUUUUGAUGGUAUUGCCGUUUUGCCUCAUUUGUAUGUGUAAAGAAUCAAUCAUCAUAAUAACUAUGCUCUUAGAAAUAACUUGCAAUGUUUGGCCUCGUCA